rnacentral:rRNA from 1 species
ACAGAGGCGGCAAGCGUUGUUCGGAAUUAUUGGGCGUAAAGAGCACGUAGGCGGCCUUGCAAGUCAGUUGUGAAAGCCUUCCGCUUAACGGAAGAACGGCAUCUGAUACUACAGGGCUUGAGGACGGUAGAGGGGUGUGGAAUUCCGGGUGUAGUGGUGAAAUGCGUAGAGAUCCGGAGGAACACCAGAGGCGAAGGCGACACCCUGGGCCGUACCUGACGCUAAGACGCGACAGCACGGGGAGCGAACGG